rnacentral:rRNA from 1 species
ACGGGUGAGUAAAAGGUAGGGACCUACCCCGAGGACAGAGAUAGCUACUGGAAACGGUAGGUAAACUCUGAUAAGCCCGAGAGGGGAAAGUGGAAGGCAGCCUUGGGAUGGACCUACUAUCCAUCAGGUAGUUGGUGAGGUAAAGGCUUACCAAGCCGAUGACGGAUAACCGGUGUGAGAGCAUGUACGGUCACAAGGGCACUGAGACACGGGCCCUACUCCUACGGGAGGCAGCAGUGGGGAAUAUUGGACAAUGGGCGAAAAGCCUGAUCCAGCGACGCCGCGUGAAGGAAGAAGUCCUUCGGGAUGUAAACUUCUGAACUAAUCGAAUUAAAGGGUAGUGGACACACUACAGAAAAAGGUAGAUUAGUAAGUCCCGGUAACUACGGCCAGCAUCCGCGUAAGACGUAGGGGCGAGCUUGCCCCGGAUCACUGGUGUAAAGGGGACGUAGGCGGAUGAUCAAGUCAUCCUGUGAAAAGAUUUGCUCAACGAUUGGCUUGCGGAUGAAACUGGUCAUCUUGGGCGUAGCAGAGGUAGACGGAAUUACCUGAGUAGGGGUGAAAUCCGCAGAUACAGGUAAGAAGGCCGGUGAAGAAGUUGGUCUACUGGGCUACAGCUGACGCUGAGGUCCGAAAGCCAGGGGAGCGAACCGGAUUAGAUACCCGGGUAGUCCUGGCUGUAAACGAUGCUCACUAGGUGUAGGGAGCGAAAGACUCUCUGUGCUGAAGCGAACGCGCUAAGUGAGCCACCUGGGGAGUACGUCCGCAAGGAUGAAACUCAAAGGAAUUGACGGGGGUCCGCACAAGCGGUGGAGCAUGUGGUUUAACUCGAAGCUAACCGAAGAACCUUACCAGGGAUUGACAUG